GGAGAACACUGUUGGUAAGAUGCUGGAUAGACUGAAGAUAUUCAAGGUUGAUGGACCCGAGCCUCUUGCAUCCAUACCUGAGACAGACGGAAAAGAAAAUGUCCUGUUUUAAGGAUACAAGCAAGAGCAACAUCAGCUUCUCUUCUGGUCUGACAUCCAGCUCAUGCACCUGGCAGAGCUCUGCAAACUUGACAAGCAGUAGAGAAACCUGAACUGCUGUGGGAGACAAAGUAUGCAGUUUGGAGCUAUGCACUGGAUUCCCUUUGUUUGGCUACCUCUGUGAAACCAGAAUCUUGACUUCUGAGUAGUGGCAGAAAUGGAAAAGUACUGCGCAGAAGGCUCAGGCUGGCUGAACAUCCUCCCCAGAGCCUGCACUGCAGAGCAGUCAGUGUUGGCUCAGACCCACAGCCCGGAAGAAAGGUCAGGAACCAGGCUGUCUGGCACAAGCUAUGCGUGUGAAGACAUUCUGGAUCACAGCCCUUUGGAACAGGAGGAGCAUUUUAAAU